UUGAACGCUGGCGGCAGGCCUAACACAUGCAAGUCGAGCGGCAGCGCGGGGCAACCUGGCGGCGAGCGGCGGACGGGUGAGUAACGCGUAGGAAUCUACCCAGUAGCGGGGGAUAGUCCGGGGAAACUCGGAUUAAUACCGCAUACGCCCUAAGGGGGAAAGCAGGGGAUCGUAAGACCUUGCACUAUUGGAAGAGCCUGCGUUGGAGUAGCUAGUUGGAAGGGUAAACGCCGACCAAGGCGACGAUCCAUAACUGGGCUGAGAGAAUGAUCAGUCACGCCGGAACUGAGACAGGGUCCGGACUCCUACGGGAGGCAGCAGUGGGGAAUAUUGGACAAUGGGGGCAACCCUGGUCCAGCCAUGCCGCGUGUGUGAAGAAGGCCUUCGGGUUGUAAAGCACUUUAAGUGGGGAGAAAGGUUCGCUGGCUAAUAUCCAGCGGAAUUGAUGCUACCCACAGAAUAAGCACCGGCUAACUCUGUGCCAGCAGCCGCCGUAA
rnacentral:rRNA from 1 species